UCUGGACUGUACUUUUGAAUGGUACGCAAGGCUGGAGGACACCUAUAACAACGUGUUCACCCUGCCUCGUGAACACAAUCCCAAAAUCACCCGGGAGCCCUAUCUAGUGAUCAAGGGCGUACAGAUGGGGGACUCCGGACGGUACACGUGUACCACCAUCCUGGACUCUGAGGUGCCAGUGAGUAAGAUCACCUAUAACGUGGCAGUUAUCAGCGAAUCGGAACAGGCGACAAAAAAAUACCAUCCUCGCCCUACACUUCCUGAUGUGCUUGACAUCACAGCGCCUGAGCCGCCACUUCUAGAGGAGCUACAGAACAACAAUGC